UCGGGUGUGGUGCAUGGCGCAUAGCAGCGGAUAAUGGUCAAAUAUAUCUAUCUGACAGCUGCAGUCCGGGGUUCGACUCCCCGCACUCGAA